rnacentral:rRNA from 1 species
GAUGAACGCUGGCGGCGUGCCUAAUACAUGCAAGUCGAACGAAGCCUUCGGGCUUAGUGGCGAACGGGUGAGUAACACGUUGGUACCUACCCUCUAGUGGGGAAUAACUGGCCGAAAGGUCGGCUAAUACCGCAUAAUACCGCAAGGUUAAAGCAGCAAUGCGCUAGAGGAGGGGCCUGCGUCCCCUUAGCUUGUUGGUAGUGGAAUGGACUACCAAGGCGACGAUGGGUAGCUGGAUCGAGAGGUGGACCAGCCACACUGGGACUGAGAUACGGCCCAGACUCCUACGGGAGGCAGCAGUAAGGAAUCUUCCACGAUGGACGAAAGUCUGAUGGAGCAACGCCGCGUGCAGGAUGACGGCCUUCGGGUUGUAAACUGCUUUUAUAUGGGAAGAUUAUGACGGUACCAUAUGAAUAAGGACCGGCUAACUACGUGCCAGCAGCCGCGGUAA